rnacentral:misc_RNA from 1 species
GUGGAAGCGAGCCUGCUCGCGAAGGCUGUAGCCGUCGCCACAGAUGAGGUGCGGCAACCAUCCAUUCGCGAGCAGGCUCGCUCCUAC